GAACGUCCUCUAAUUCCGAUACGCUCGCAAAAUAUGUCAAUGCCAGUACAAAUUUACGCCUGCAAGGCUGCACCCGCGGUCACUUAGGUCAUCCAGGACUUGAUGUCGAAACCGGUCCUUCCCGAACUUCCGCCAGAAAUAUGGACUGCGAUAUUCAACCAAUUGGCCUGUUGCCAGUUGCGGCAGGUUCGACUAGUUUGUCGCCGCUUCCGGGACAUCGUAGACACGUGCGAUUCUCUUGUGGCCAAACUUACCGGUGUCGUGACGCUGGAACGUGUUAGGAUCGAUUCCGGCUACGAACUGGAUCGUGCGUUUUCGUCUGCCGGCAAAUGUUUGUUGAAACACGUGCUCUUUGUUGCGGUGGGACCGUGGUGGAGAUCUGUUGGACAAAAUCUGGCCAUGCUCGAGAUGCACAGCUGCCAAAUGAAACUUUCGGUUCUUCUGGAAGUGCUCAGGCAGACUCCGAAUCUCAAAUGUUUGGUGCUGGAGUAUUUAUGUUUCGCUGAUGGCGAAACGUUUAUUACCGUCGAUUUCCAGCUUGACACAGUGGAGAAACUGACUCUUGUUGGAAUUCAUGGUUUGGUGCUUCCGGAAAUGUUUUGCAACAUUUGUAGCCGCUUAAAGUACUUGCGGAUUCAUUUUUCUUAUUAUUACUUCCUGGACGUGGCUGUUAACCCCCGGAAAGACAUGGAACACAUUUUGGACGGUUUGCCGCACACAUUGGCGCAGCUUCACAUAAACUCCACAGCCGAUUGUUUGGAUAGUGUGACAAAACUCGACGGAUUCAGGUUAAGCCGAAUUGUUCAGUGUUACGAACUAGGAGAAAAUCACAAUUUUCUGUUUGAAUUCAGACGCUCCAGUGGAGAAGAGCCAGCAAGGUUGCGUCUCGCAGCAAAAAUAGUUGAUGUUUGCAAAGGGAUCGUACACAAGGCACCAGCAGUUCCUCCGGGUCUAGAACUUCUAACGGUUAUUGUGUCAAAAGUGAAUCAUCAGAUUUUGACACACCUGAGUGAGCUAGAGAUCUUCGUUGCGUACAAACGUUACUACCGGAAUUUCACCGGCGUCAAAUGGACCAACCUAAAGCAAGUACAUCUGCUGUCCUGUAACGUGCGGAACUGCAUUGGAGAGUUGCUGUCAACGGCGUCCAAUCUGGAGACAUUGGUCAUUGACGAUUGUGAAUUAAGCUGCUGGAAAGAACUUGCCACAGCGCUCCUAUAUCCGAAAAAUUUGCAAAGCUUAUCUCUAAAGGAUAUAGCAAUCUGCAACCCAGACGAACCCGGAGUACUGGUGCAGAGCUUAAGCCAGCUAUCCCAACUGCGAGAGCUGCACUUGCAGUCGAUUGAACUCAGCGAUGAAGUGCUUCGUGUCAUCUUUUGUGACUUGAAGGAACUAAACAAGUUAGCUAUUGAAAACUGCACAAUAUCGGAGGGUUGCGAACAGUUUCCGGCCGUGCAACAGGUGCAAACUACGGAAAUAAAUCCAGAACGAAGCGAAUCUACGGAAGAAUUGAGGGUCGUACCAACUCGGUGGCACAAUGUGUUCGAUCUCUACGUUGACUCGAACGAAUUUUACGGAAGUUUGCAAAAUUACUCAAAUUUGCCGUAGUCUAAUACCUCCUUCAUUCCACACAAAUCAACCACAAAACUGAUUUGACAAUCUUGAUUCUCUCUUUCGCAAACCGCGCGCUUCUCGAUGUUUUCUCGCUCUUUAUUCUCUCGCUCAAUGCGCAAUCUGUCAAGUUAGCUUUACAAGACAAUAUGUUUAAAGGUGCACACUUUUUCUAGCGCACUAAACUCGCAAUUUGAUGCCAACAUUUCAAAAAGCAUCAUGUACACACCAUCCUUUUUGAGAAAAACGCAUUUGAAUUUUGAGCAUCCAUUUUCAAUUCCCUUUUUAAUAUAGAAGCAAAAUAAGAUGUUCUAAUGAUAACUGUAAAAGGUGGAGUGGCAGUAGAAAUAAAAACCGCGUGUACGUUUGUCAAAGUUUAA